rnacentral:lncRNA from 1 species
ACAUGGGAAGUGAAAGAGAGCCUAAGAAUGACAGAGUUAUUUAACUAAGGACAUGCCUCUUUGCGUAAUGUAAUUGAAAGAACAUUUGGUGCGUGGUAAAGUAGAUUCAGAAUACUGUGACAAGGCAUGAACAACUAUGAAUUAGACAUGCAAGUGAAAAUAGUAGUUGCUUGUGCUGUAUUACAUAAUUUUUUGCGUGAAAAUCAAAGCAAUGAUGAAAUAUUUAAUGAACAUGAACGUGAUGAUAUGGUUACUGAUGAAGAUGACGAACAAUCAACUCAAAGUAACAAUAUUAUUUCGUCUUCUCAGUCAUCUAAAAGCUUGUCGGGAGGAGAUUGUUGUAGACAUUAAAAUUUUGUGGGACUACAAGACGUGUUCAAUUCGAAUUGGGACUCUAGAAGGUGUGUUCAGAUUCAAUUAAAAUUCUCGGAGUCUACUCAACCCUAAACUCUAGUCCAUGCCUAUAUAAAUGGUACUAAAUUCCCUUAAAGGGCAUCUCGAAAAUUCCACAAGUUGAUGGAAUAUUCAUAUAGAUGUCAAAUCUAAAAGAAUAGUUUGUUAUUAUAUCCUCCGGAGGUUGUUAUAAUUAUAACUGAAUCAAUGACAAGUUUGAAUAUGCAUUAAUGUAUUGCUCUUGUAUAUAUUAUUAUUUUGUUGUUGUUGAUUGUUAUCAAUUAUGUUAUAAGGUUAUUUUUAACAGAACAUAUUCAUUAUAAAUAGAUAAUACAAAUUUAUGGAUAUUUUUAAUAGUUUUUAAAACUUAUGUGUAUAAAUCAUAUUUUUUUGAAAGAGUCAAACAUUUUUGGGAAACUUGGGGCCAAACACAGGCUAUUAACUUGGAAAAAACUUGACUCAAGUAUUAUUUGACAAAAAUACUUGGAAACUUGGGGACAAACGCUAGCUAAAAGAGUUUAAAUAAGUUAGUAAAUUAAUUAAGGGAAAAAUAUGUCCAAGAGGAUCCACAUAGGAAAAUUAAAGUGAGCCAUGAGAAUUUAACGCAAUAGAAAUAAAUAUGAUUAUUAGAGUAUAAAAGUAAAUAUAACCCCUAAUUUGAACGAAGAGGACAAAUAUGUUAAGGACAUGCGAAUUUAACAUCGUAAUUCGUAAGCAUAAAUAUGACCUUUUUGAAAGUACAAGGAUAAAUAUGAUCCAAAAGUUGAAUAAAAAGGCAAAUAUAUUAAGGACAUGAAGAUUUAAUAUCGAAGGAAUAAAUAUGACUCUUUUUUAAUACAAAGAUAAAUAUGAUUUUAAAAUUAAACAAAAAUGACAAAUAUAUUUUUAAAGUAUAAUGAAGGGCAUAUAUGACUUAUUUGUGACUUGUAAGAGCAUAAGGACAAAUAUAACCCUUUUCUAUUUAAUAAUAUCUCUGGUGUGUGAGUGUAGGGCAUUUGAAAUGCUAAAGAACCGUUCGUUCAACUAAUCAUUCCGAACAUGUAUAGAAAAUUAUAGCUCGUGGCCAAGUAAGAAAUUGCCACACCUUCAUUUCAUGUUUUGUUUGAUACACUUUCUUUUUUAAAUCUAAAGAAAAAUACCUUGCUUUUUUUUUUUUUUAUGACAAGGGAAACCAUAGCCGCUACCCUUUGGGUGCGCACAGGGUAAAACCUCUGCUCAUAUGCAAUAGCUCGCAAACCACAUAGGAGAGGUAACUCACACCAGGUAAGCCUGGUGUGACGAGCUCAACCCAGAAGACAAACCCCUUGCUUUCGCUGGCAAGGGGUUUCGAACUUGAGACCUCCAACAUGGAAGUCCCAAGCCCAAACCACUGGGCCACCCCGAAGGGUCCUUGCUCUUUGAAAACAAUUAAUCUUACCAUUCUCAUUUUCCCCUUACGUAGUGAGUAAAUAAGAUUUCUUGCCCUCUUAGAAAUUGAAUUUUAGAAAAUAAUCUUUUCACAUCUCUCAUUGUAAAAAUGAAGAUCUCUCGUAAAAACAACUUAAAGGCGAAAAACAGUUUGUGAAGGACUAGAAAACCAUCUUUUCUGAUUUAAACAAAACAAGGACGUUCCUAUUUUCAAAUGAACAGAUAGGCAAGGAAAGUAUGUCAACAUUACAUCCCAACAUACAUGUAAGCAAUGACACAACCAUUUGGUAAACACUAAAAAUAACAAAUAACAAAGAUGAAUUUCACUUAGGAUUUUGGUUAAAAAUAAUGUUGUAAGUGGCCUCGAUCUAUCUCUAAAAAGAAAUGAUUAAGACAGAGCUAGUUUGAAUGAGUCAUAUCGAAUAAGUUUUAAAACCACAACCGCCCAUUGGAAUGUAGUAUUACUAUUCAUAUUUCCAUCACCCACUGCCCAUGGUUUCUUCAAAACAACGAAUUGCAAUUUAUAAGGAAAUACCAAACUAACGUACGUUACCAAAAGAACAUAAACAAGUCCAAGUUGACUCAUUAGGAUAAUAGAAAAGAGAAAAACACAUGCAUGCAAUGAACUUUUAUGUGACAUGUAAGCAUUCUAUCAGGAAAAUUCUUACCUACAUAUCAAAGCUAAACUAAUAAUUCAGAGAUAAACUAAUAAAUCGCACCAAAUUUAGGGGUGUUUUUUAUGUCCUCUUUGUAAGACAUAAAUUGACUAUAGAUUUGUCAAAACAAAAAAAUAAUAGAACCAAUCACAUGGCUCUUGAUAUGAAGUGAAUUUGGACUCACUACUAUUCCGAUCCUUUCUCCUUCAAAAGAGGUAAUUAAUUAAGUUACAACUGCAACUACCUGAUAUUCAAAUCUAACUGCUUUUUUUUUAAAAAGAAAAAUAAAAUUGUCCCACCAUGUAAAUAAUAUUCUACUACUACGGCUAUAUAUAGUCCGGCAAUUGCCUUCCUUUUCUUCAUACUGAACUUAAAAAAAACAGAAGAAGAUGGAGAUUCCGGUUAUCGACUUCAGUAAGCUUGAAGGUGAGGAGAGAAGUGCAACCAUGUCACUACUCCAUCAGGCUUGUGAAAAAUGGGGCUUUUUUAUGGUAAUGAAUGAACGCAUGUAUAAUUCUGUUUUUUAAGUAGUACUAAGCACUUUUGAUAAGAUGCUAAUAUUGAUAAGAAACUAAUGCAGAUAGAGAAUCAUGGAAUUGACACUUACUUGAUGGACAAUGUGAAGCAGCUCGUGAAUCAGCACUACGAAGCCAACAUGAAGAAGCGAUUUUAUGAAUCAGAGCUACCUAUGAGUUUAGAGAAGAAAGGAAACAUCAGCAACACAGACUGGGAAAGCACAUUCUUUGUUUGGCAUCGUCCAACUUCCAACAUCUAUGAGAUUCAAGGUCUCUCAAAGGAACUUUGGUAAGUCACCAACACCACAGCAUAAAGCUUCAACAAUUCAAUAAAUAUGCUAGAAUUAAUGAGCACAGACGUACAACUUACCGAUGUCCUGCACUAAGAAUAUUUCAUUAUUAUUGAAUUUCACAUUUGAAGUAUGUUGCGUGCAGCAAAGCAGUAGAUGACUAUAUUGAUCAGCUGAUCGAACUUGCAGAAAAUCUUUCAGAACUAAUGUGUGAGAACCUUGGCCUAGAGAAGAGUUGCAUCAAAGAAGCAUUUUCAGGCAGCAAGGGUCCUUCUGUUGGAACAAAAGUAGCGAUAUAUCCUCAAUGUCCU